rnacentral:rRNA from 1 species
GAUGAACGCUGGCGGCGUGCUUAACACAUGCAAGUCGAACGGAAAGGCCACAGCUUGCUGUGGUACUCGAGUGGCGAACGGGUGAGUAACACGUGGGUGAUCUGCCCUGUACUUCGGGAUAAGCUUGGGAAACUGGGUCUAAUACCGGAUAGGAAUCACAUGUGGGUGUGUGGUUGGAAAGCUUUUGCGGUAUGGGACGAGCUCGCGGCCUAUCAGCUUGUUGGUGGGGUAAUGGCCUACCAAGGCGUCGACGGGUAGCCGGCCUGAGAGGGGGUACGGCCACAUUGGGACUGAGAUACGGCCCAGACUCCUACGGGAGGCAGCAGUGGGGAAUAUUGCACAAUGGGCGCAAGCCUGAUGCAGCGACGCCGCGUGGGGGAUGACGGCCUUCGGGUUGUAAACUCCUUUCGUCAGGGACGAAGCGAAAGUGACGGUACCUGGAGAAGAAGCACCGGCUAACUACGUG